GACGAACGCUGGCGGCGUGCUUAACACAUGUAAGUCGAACGGAAAGGCCCUGCUUUUGUGGGGUGCUCGAGUGGCGAACGGGUGAGUAACACGUGAGUAACCUGCCCUUGACUUUGGGAUAACUUCAGGAAACUGGGGCUAAUACCGGAUAGGAGCUCCUGCUGCAUGGUGGGGGUUGGAAAGUUUCGGCGGUUGGGGAUGGACUCGCGGCUUAUCCGCUUGUUGGUGGGGUAGUGGCUUACCAAGGCUUUGACGGGUAGCCGGCCUGAGAGGGUGACCGGCCACAUUGGGCCUACGAUACGGCCCAGACUCCUACGUGAGGCAGCAGGGGAGAAUAUUGCACAAUGGGCGGAAGCCUGAUGCAGCAACGCCGCGUGCGGGAUGACGGCCUUCGGGGUGUAAACCGCUUUCGCCUGUGACGAAGCGUGAGUGACGGUAAUGGGUAAAGAAGCACCGGCUAACUACGUG
rnacentral:rRNA from 1 species